CUCUGAAUGUUUUAGGCAGUAAAUACUGUUUAGUUAGCUAUGCUUGAAUAUGUAAUUGAAUAGAAUUCUAAUUGCUGUAUAUUCAUUGUCUGUUUACAGUUUUACAAAAGAAAAAAUAUUAAUGUUAAAGUUAAUUGAGAAGAUUCAUGAAAGCUAUUGAAAGAUUAAAAGCCAUGAACCAACAUCUCACUUGUUCACUGUCUGUCUAACUGGAUAGAGAAGUUACACGUCUAGUGAGGACAGAACAUCUGCUGAACCAGAUAUAUGCAGAAAGGCCUACAUGUCCUUUUUCACAUUGUCACACUGCAUCUCACUGCAAUGUGCAAACCAUUUAUACACAACAAACCCGUACCACAGGAAGAACUAGCACUCCUCCGGCACAGAGACUACAAGGUGGAUUUUCAUCACCACCACAAUGACCACACCACAGGCUGAGAUGGAGAAAAAGAACCACAGAAAGAACUAGCGCCCCCUCCAGCACAGAGUCCAACAA